CUCCCUAUCGCGCCGAGCUCCAUCCAAUAGGCGGGGGCCACCAACUCAUGGAUGGAGACGGGGGACCCACCGGUCCACCGUGAUCGGACUGGGGCCGUUCGCGGCCCCUAGGGGUGAAGCCGGCGUCGUCCUCGACGGCCGCGCCGGCCGGGUGGCCUCUCCAACCCGAACCCGACAGCUGACCUCGCAGGCGCGUGACGAGAGAGGAA
rfam:Mycobacterium avium 2285 (S) gma2285S.contig.6, whole genome shotgun sequence.